UAUGUGAUCGUCUCUCGCAUAUCAAUAAGCGGAGGAAAAGAAACUAACAAGGAUUCCCCUAGUAACGGCGAGUGAAGCGGGAAGAGCUCAAAUUUGAAAUCUUAAAGGGUUUCCCUUUACGAAUUGUAGUUUAAAGAAGUGUUUUCUGUUGAGGUUUUGGUAAAAGUUCUUUGGAAUAGGACAUCAUAGAGGGUGAGAAUCCCGUAUUUGACCUUUACUUUCAACUUUGUGAUACACUUUCAAAGAGUCGGAUUGUUUGGGAAUGCAGUCCAAAAUGGGUGGUAAAUUUCAUCUAAAGCUAAAUAUUGGCGAGAGACCGAUAGCGAACAAGUACCGUGAGGGAAAGAUGAAAAGAACUUUGAAAAGAGAGUUAAACAGUACGUGAAAUUGUCAAAAGGGAAGCGUUUGACACCAGUGUUGUUUUUCUGAAAAUCAAUUAAAGAACUGUUUAUGCUAAGCUGUUUAGACUUUAUCAGCUAACUGUUUAGUUUUGAGCUUUUCUUUAAUGCACUUUUCAGUUAACAAGUCAACAUCAAUUUCUUUUGCUGUAAAAAAGCUUGAGGAAGGUGGCUUGAGAUUCGUCUUAAGUGUUUAUAGCCUCUUGCCUAUGCAGUCGGAGAGAUUGAGGUCUGCAGCGUAGAUCCUUCGGGGCUAAAUGCAUUUGUGCUAAGUUAUAGCAUUUUAUAGACAACUUGUUGACUAUGAUUUGUCUUGUAGCUUACUCGCUUAUGUUAUUUUACCUACGCUUAGGAUGUUGACACACGCGCGUGCUCG
rnacentral:rRNA from 1 species